rnacentral:misc_RNA from 1 species
AAGACUAUAGACCUGCGGAGUACCUGCGGAAGGAUCGUUACCGAGUUUACAACUCCCAAACCCAAUGUGAACGUUACCAAACUGUUGCCUCGGCGGGAUCUCUGCCCCGGGUGCGUCGCAGCCCCGGACCAAGGCGCCCGCCGGAGGACCAACCAAAACUCUUUUGUAUACCCCCUCGCGGGUUUUUUAUAUCUGAGCCAUCUCGGCGCCUCUCGUAGGCGUUUCGAAAAUGAAUCAAAA